GGCCGUUCUCCUGUACAGGAGGCAGCCAUGGCGCCCAGCCGGAAUGGCAUGAUCCUGAAGCCCCACUUCCACAAGGACUGGCAGCAGCGAGUGGACACGUGGUUCAACCAGCCGGCCCGCAAGAUCCGCAGACGCAAGGCCCGGCAGGCGAAAGCGCGCCGCAUCGCCCCUCGCCCCGCGUCCGGUCCCAUCAGGCCCAUCGUGAGGUGCCCUACAGUUAGAUACCACACCAAGGUCCGGGCUGGCAGGGGCUUCAGCCUGGAGGAGCUCAGGGUGAGUGCGGCAGGGAAGGGUCUCCGUGUCAGUCCGCCCGGGCUCGGUGGAAUGAUGACAUUCUCCGGAAUCGCUGUACUGUCUUGAUGAAAGUACUUUUGAACCCUUUUCCAUCUGACUACGAGCUUUCUCGGCAAGGCUAGCGUGGGGGGACGGUGCUUCGAGGUGUUUCACCCGGUGCUGUGUCUGGGCAGGUGGCUGGUAUCCACAAGAAAAUGGCACGCACCAUCGGCAUCUCCGUGGACCCAAGGAGGCGAAACAAAUCCACGGAGUCACUGCAGGCCAACGUGCAGCGCCUGAAGGAGUACCGCUCCAAGCUCAUACUUUUCCCCAGGAAGCCUUCUGCUCCGAAGAAGGGAGACAGUUCUGCUGAAGAACUUAAAUUGGCCACGCAGCUAACAGGACCUGUGAUGCCCAUCCGGAAUGUGAGUGGACACUGCUUACGUAGUCUCUGUGUGAUUGGCAGGUGUAAAGUGUAUGUUGCAGACACUGGAGAGCUCUUACCUUGGGAGCAACCUUCCAAUCCUUGUCUUGUUUGUUCUGCUUUGAGAGAAAGUGUUUCUUUAUAUCAUCUAGCUGGCCUUGAGCUCAGACAUCCUGUCUGCCUCCCAUGUGCGGGGUUAAAGGCAUUCGCCAC
rnacentral:lncRNA from 1 species